CGGGAAACCGGAGCUAAUACCGGAUAAUAUUUCGAACCGCAUGGUUCGAUAGUGAAAGAUGGUUUUGCUAUCACUUAUAGAUGGACCCGCGCCGUAUUAGCUAGUUGGUAAGGUAACGGCUUACCAAGGCGACGAUACGUAGCCGACCUGAGAGGGUGAUCGGCCACACUGGAACUGAGACACGGUUCCAGACUCCUACGGGAGGCAGCAGGG
rnacentral:rRNA from 1 species